GGAUCGAUGAUGAGCAAAAUUAUCUGAGGACGGUGAAGGACACACUGCAGAUGUCAAUCUGAGGUCC
rnacentral:snoRNA from 12 species